rnacentral:lncRNA from 1 species
CUCUAAUCGAUUUGACUCUCCAAGAGAUGGCUGGGUUUUUCAAAGCAGAGAAAUGAUGACCUGCAGUCUUAAAGAGCUGUUGAUUGCACCUGGGGCUCCCGUGGCCGGCGCCCAUCGAGCAGCCCAUCCUGGCUGUUCCCUUGUUCAGCUGAUUUUCUUUUUUAUCUUGACAUUUGCUAACCGCUUGGUUUUUAUUUUCCGGGAAGAGAGGAUUAUUGGCAACUGGCACCACCCCCAUGUCUGGAGGAGGGACGUUUCUAGGAUGACCCCCAGAGUGGAGAAAUAGCCGAGGUUGCAUGGGCUUGAUCCACAAUGACUCAGCUUUCAGCCAUCGCAAUUGUGCUAUGCUCAGCUGUCAAGUGUGUUUUAAAUCUCCUACUACAUUUUUUUUAAAGUUUUUCUGCCAUCCUUUGUACUCCUUUUUAAAAACUUAUCCAGGAAGUGGUAUGAAAUCUCCAGUACUUCUCGGCACACACAGAUGCGUCUUUUUCUGUUUAUUGUUUUCCCUCUGAGAGUUGUAGUGUUCAGUUGGUUACACCAAGAGAAGUACUUGGCUGGGACUGUUAAAAAAAGUGUCACAAAGCAGCACCAAGGAGAAAACAACACUGUUUUCUGAAUGUUCGUGCUUGGAAUUUCUUUACUACAGGGAAAAUGAGAUGGGGGAGGGCCCUUCUUAUCUAUUUUCAGACAGACAUCUCACAAAUGCAUAAAAAAUAUAAUCCUUUUAGUUCCACUGGCCUUGUAGUUGUUGUAAAUGCAUCUUAAAUUCCUAAAUGAUUUUUAAAUUACAUUAUGUCUUUCAGCGGUGUAGGCUUUGAUUUCUGAGGCUGUUAGCCAGAUAUAGGCUUUAACAAACACUCAUGUUCUUUUGUCUUUAUGUCUUUAUUUUAAAAUUAUAUAUAUACAUAUAUAUAUGUAUGUAUGUAUGUAUAAGUAUCCAGUGAGUAUAAGAAAAAUAUCAAAGAGAAGAAUUUUUCUCAUUCUGUCUUCAAAUAGGUAAUACUUCACAAAUUGAUGUAUGCUCAUGGACAAUAGCAGGUAAUGCUUUUGAAACUGAAAGAUUUGUCUCUGAGUUCCAACAAUUGUCUUAGCAGACAGAGUUUCAAGGUCAUCAAAUCUGUAUCCAUUGGUGGCAUAGAAGAUGUCAAUCACAUUGCCUUUGAAUCAGAACCUAUCAUUGUCAAUACAGAUAAACUGCAGGUUAACUCUCUCUCUGUCUCGCCCCUGGAAACUAGGCUUAAUGUUUUGCCAAAAAUUGGGUAUUUGCUCUUGACCCUAGAGCAAAGGCUCUCACUUCAACAAAACUUUUCACUACUCUCCAGAAGAGCCAAGCCUCAUACUGAUGAGAAGAAGAGAAGGAAGAGAAAUGGGAAGCCGAUCAUUAAAAUAUUUUCCUGCAAGGGGAAGAAAACAACAAUUCUUAAGUGCCAAUAUGAGACAGGCACUAUACUGAGCACUUUGGAUGUGGUAUCUGUUUACAUUUAUUUGAAUAAUAAUCAGCAUAUAGAAAUUCAA